rnacentral:rRNA from 1 species
UACAGAGACUGCGAGCGUUAUUCGGAUUCACUGGGCGUAAAGAGCGUGUAGGCGGUUUGGUAGGUCCGUUGUGAAAACUCGAGGCUCAACCUCGAGACGCCGAUGGAAACCAUCAGACUAGAGUCCGGAAGAGGAGAGUGGAAUUCCUGGUGUAGCGGUGAAAUGCGCAGAUAUCAGGAAGAACACCCGUGGCUAAGGCGGCUCUCUAGUACGGUACUGACGCUGAGACGCGAAAGCGUGGGGAGCG